rnacentral:tRNA from 1 species
CGCGGGGUGGAGCAGUGGUAGCUCGUCGGGCUCAUAACCCGAAGGUCGUCCGUUCGAACCGGGCCCCCGCCA